GGAGAGGUUCCCGAGCGGCCAAAGGGGGCAGACUGUAAAUCUGUUGGCUCAGCCUUCGCUGGUUCAAAUCCAGCCCUCUCCACCA
rnacentral:tRNA from 1 species